CCUACGGGGGGCUGCAGUGGGGAAUAUUGGACAAUGGGCGAAAGCCUGAUCCAGCCAUGCCGCGUGUGUGAAGAAGGCCUUCGGGUUGUAAAGCACUUUCAGUGGGGAAGAAAGCCUUGGGGCUAAUACCCUCGAGGAAGGACAUCACCCACAGAAGAAGCACCGGCUAACUCCGUGCCAGCAGCCGCGGUAAUACGGAGGGUGCGAGCGUUAAUCGGAAUUACUGGGCGUAAAGCGCGCGUAGGCGGUCUGAUAAGCCGGUUGUGAAAGCCCCGGGCUCAACCUGGGAACGGCAUCCGGAACUGUCAGGCUAGAGUGCGGGAGAGGAAGGUAGAAUUCCCGGUGUAGCGGUGAAAUGCGUAGAGAUCGGGAGGAAUACCAGUGGCGAAGGCAGCCUUCUGGACUGACACUGACGCUGAGGUGCGAAAGCGUGGGUAGCAAACAGGAUUAGAUACCCUAGUAGUC
rnacentral:rRNA from 1 species